CUGGGCCGGCUUCCAAGGCCGCUAUUGUGGCCGUUCAUCAGCGGCAGUCCCAGCGUGGGGGCCCUGGAAUGGUCGUCGAGAAGGCAGACACAGGGGAGCCGGAAGUCACGUGAGACUGACUGUGGGUUCAGGACCCAGCCCAUGCUCCGGGUGCCACAGACAAGGAAGCAUUCCUUUAGCUUCAAGAUGUCCAAUCCCCAGCUGAACAGACAAGCUGGCUGGGCAUGGAGCCUGGUGCCCAGACCACUGGCCUGAGGGUGCCAGGCAGCUUCCACCUCUCUGACUACUCCACCUGAGAGGUUUUCACUCCGGACCAUGCCCCCUUCCCAGGCUCUUUCAGAAGUGAGGAGGGGACUUAUCUCUGGUUGUCACAUUUCUGGGGACCCUGCAGCGCUGAGUGGGCAGGUGCCAGGGAUACCAAAUGCCCCACACCGUGCACUCAGCUCCACUGUGAUGGUCAAUUUUCUGUCACCUUGGCUGCACCACAGGGCCCAGUUUGCUCCAACACCAGUCUAGACGUUGCUGUGAGGGUGCAUUUUAGACAGACGAGCGUUGUACUCAGUAGACUUUAAGUAAAGUAGAUGCCCCCGCUAGCGUGUGGGACCAGCCAAGGGCCUUAGGAGGAAAGACUGGUUCCCAGAAGAGAAAGGAAUUCUGCCUCCAGACGGCCUUGGGCUCAAAUGCAACAUCACUCCUGCAAAAUUUCCAGCCUGCCGCCUGCCUGCAGAUCUCAGGUGUGCCAGCCCCCAGUCUCAUAAGCCAAGUCCUUAAAGUCCAUGUCUUUCUAUAUAUACACACACAUAUCAUAGGAUAUAUAUAUAUAUAUAUAUAUAUAUAGCUCCUAAUGGUUCUGUUUCUCUGAAGAACCUUGACUAAUACAAUCACCCUGCCCCAAACACUACUGGGGCCCCCCAGAGAGCCACCGAGUGGCCUGGACCAGUCCCACAGGCCUCUAAAAUAAGGGGAUGGGCCGGGAGGCCACUACACACUAAAAUUUCUGAGGUUCUACAUUAAAAGUGGACCCUGUGAGGCAGCCCGUGGGCAGGCCCCUGGUGCCUAGAAGAGAUGAGCUUCCCGUGGUGGAAUGAGCCCGAGUCAUCCGCAGCCCCUCCCCGUGAGGCUGCCUGGGCACCCGCCCACCUCCUCAACGCCUGCAGCCCCUCUGCGAAUGGAUCCAGCCUGGGGCCCUUCUCGGAUCUGAGCGGGAGGCUCGGAUCUUCAGUUAAUUGGCAAAACAGGGCUGUGCGAGGCCAUGACAGCAGCCAAGUCUGUCCAGUGGGGGGCCCCAGGGAGGGUCUCUGGCCUGUGUUUUUCUUGCCAGGUUCUUCUGGAGGCCGUGUUGGCUCUGAAACCUCAGGGCACGACCUUGCUCAGAAGCGCAGCUGCGGACAAGCAGGGCCGGGGAGGAGGGCUGGGCUGCCCCAAGCCACCCAGCCGUGUCAGGCCCCAAGCCGCCCGGACAGCUGGGUCACGAGCCCUCGUGGGGCAGCCUCACCGUCUGGCCUGAGUGUUCAGAAAGUCUGCGUCUCCUGGGGGCCUCCAACCUUGACUGCCAGAGAAAUGGCUUAAAACAACAGACACUCAUGAUCUCCCAUUAUUCCUGUUGGGAAGGAGUCCGGGCACAGCUUAGCUGGGUCCUCUGGCCCGGGGUCUCUCUGCAGGCUUCAGUCAAGCUGUCGGCCAGCCGUGUUCUCAUCUGCAGACUCGACUGGGUGGGGAACCUGCUUCUAAGCUCACUCCUGCGGCUGUGGUUGGGCGGCGAACAUGCUGUGAGCUGUGGGCUGUGAGCCUCACUUCUUGACUCUUUGCUGUUGGCUGAAGGUUCUUUGCUGUGUGGACGGCUCCACCAGGCAGCUCACAGCACAGCAGCUGGUUUCCCUUGGAACAAGUGAGAAGCCACAGGGACACAGGAUUUUGAAGAAAUGCCAGUCCCUCUCCACCCGCUCUCAGCAUGAGGAUGUCACAGGGCCACACUCACUGCCUGGGCAGGCAGCCACCUGACCAAGGAGCAGGCUCAUCGCAACGUUCCCGAGGUUCAGACCCUCUAAAAUCCAGAAAAGGGCUUUGGGUGGUCGGUUGUCUGGCCCAGCUCAAGGGACAGAGCCCCAGAGGUGCCAACAGCUUAGCCUGUAUCGCAGAUUUGCUCCUCUGCUCCUCUCUCUGUGGGGUGCACAGGAUGGCCACACCCUGCCUGUCCCACAGUGAAAAAGCUGAACCAAAGAAGUCGCCUGAAUUUCUGUCCCCUCGUGUCCACUAAAUGGUUCGCCACGGGCCUGACAGAGCUCAGUUCUAUGUCUAAGAGUGGCCAAAGGAUACCCCGAGGAGCGGCGAGUGGAAGGCCGUGGCUGUUCACUGCGGGCUGCCCAGGUUCUGGGCCAAUGGCCUGGCACCACCGUGAUGACCCUGAUUGAAGAACGAGAUCUGCACUGGAUUUCUGGCUCCUGGGGUUUUACCAUGUGCCUCCAGGUGGCUCAGUUAACCUUUUGUGCCCUGGCUUGCAAAGGAGAGAAGAUACCUGCCCUGCCCGCCUGGAGGGUCCACUGUGGCUGUGUGCGUGCACGUGCGUGUCCAGGCGUGUGUGUGGAAGUGCUUUCAGACUGCAGAGAUGCAAGUGCAGACAGGAUCCCGGACAAGGGCGGGCUGCACAGAUCUCGGCCUGCAGCUCAGAGGAAGGAAGGUGUGCUGGGGCAUAGGGCGCCGAGCACGAGGGGAGGGCCUGGGUUCUCGACACAGAGGAUCUGCGUUUCAGCCACGCAUCUGCUGUGUGACCUUGGACGAGCCACUUGUUCCUGGGUGUCAGCUUCCCCACCUGUAAGUGAAGGCACCCAGGCUUUGGGUGCUGGUGGCUCCAGUGAGCCGCCACGACCCUGGUAUCCUGGGCCUCUCAGCAGCUGCCUUGAAGCACAGCCUGCCAGUUCUCCAUCCCACCUGCACCACGCCCACCAGCCUUGCCAGGCUCAGGCAAACAGAUAGCAGGCCUCCCCGAGGCUGGAAAAAAGCCUCUGUGUGAACGAGAAAGCCCGAGGCCCCACAGUGACACGGUGUCUCCACGGCAAAGACCAGGAUGUCACAGCCAGGAAAGGCAACGAGAGCUCCAGGAAUCACAGAUGUCUGCGCCACGAGUAGAGGGCGACGGGGGAGACAGGGGCCAGGGCAGCAGCUUCUCCCCAAAAGGGGAAGGGACAGGAAUCGAGAUGCAGGAGGAAGAGGGGGGCCCGGAAGAAGGCCGGGUCCAGUACACACCAGCUGGAGUGCAAGAGCCCAGGGGAGCCCAGGCCUCAGACCUCAAGGGGGCGCUCGCUUUAGGGAGGAGAGCGAGGCUGUGGCCAAGGGGGGCUGGACGGCUAGGGCGAGGCCAGUGUCCACUCUCCCUCCUCCAGGGACAGAAGCUGCUGGCAGUUCCCACCCGGGACAGGUUCAAAAGUGAGAAGGUGUGAAUGGGGGACUACAGGUCGACGGCCCUGGUGCCCACAAGCCCAAGCCUCCCCUGAGACGAGGGGGGUCAGAGAGCAUCUCCAAAGCAAAACAGCCAAGAAACAGCACUGGAAGCAACUAUUCAGACUCAAGGAGGCGCCCAUCACCACCACGGAACAUGGAAACAGGAGCGGUCACCUCAGGGUGCGAGAAGGGAGGGGCAGGGCCCAGCUGGCACCGCCUGUGCUACUUUCUUAUGUAUGAAUUUGACUCCUUUAGGGGUCUUAUGUGAGUGGGAUCAUAAAGAAUUUGUCUUUUUC